rnacentral:rRNA from 1 species
UACGGAGGGUGCAAGCGUUGUCCGGAUUCAUUGGGCGUAAAGGGUGCGUAGGCGGCGCGGUAAGUCGGGUGUGAAAUCUCGGAGCUUAACUCCGAAACUGCAUUCGAUACUGCCGUGCUUGAGGACUGGAGAGGAGACUGGAAUUUACGGUGUAGCGGUGAAAUGCGUAGAUAUCGUAAGGAAGACCAGUGGCGAAGGCGGGUCUCUGGACAGUUCCUGACGCUGAGGCACGAAGGUCAGGGGAGCAAACGGG